rnacentral:rRNA from 1 species
AACGAACGCUGGCGGCAUGCCUAACACAUGCAAGUCGAACGAGCUCUUCGGAGCUAGUGGCGCACGGGUGCGUAACGCGUGGGAAUCUGCCCUUAGGUUCGGAAUAACUCAGGGAAACUUGAGCUAAUACCGGAUGAUGUCUUCGGACCAAAGAUUUAUCGCCUAAGGAUGAGCCCGCGUCGGAUUAGCUAGUUGGUGAGGUAAAAGCUCACCAAGGCGACGAUCCGUAGCUGGUCUGAGAGGAUGAUCAGCCACACUGGGACUGAGACACGGCCCAGACUCCUACGGGAGGCAGCAGUGGGGAAUAUUGGACAAUGGGCGAAAGCCUGAUCCAGCAAUGCCGCGUGAGUGAUGAAGGCCUUAGGGUUGUAAAGCUCUUUUACCCGGGAUGAUAAUGACAGUACCGGGAGAAUAAGCCCCGGCUAACUCCGUGCCAGCAGCCGCCGUAACAC